rnacentral:rRNA from 1 species
UGCAGGGCAAGUCUGGUGCCAGCAGCCGCGGUAAUUCCAGCUCCAAUAGCGUAUAUUAAAGUUGUUGUGGUUAAAAAGCUCGUAGUUGAACCUUGGGCCUGGCUGGCCGGUCCGCCUCACCGCGUGUACUGGUCCGGCCGGGCCUUUCCCUCUGUGGAACCCCAUGCCCUUCACUGGGUGUGGCGGGGAAACAGGACUUUUACUUUGAAAAAAUUAGAGUGCUCCAGGCAGGCCUAUGCUCGAAUACAUUAGCAUGGAAUAAUAGAAUAGGACGUGUGGUUCUAUUUUAUUGGUUUCUAGGACCGCCGUAAUGAUUAAUAGGGACAGUCGGGGGCAUCAGUAUUCAAUUGUCAGAGGUGAAAUUCUUGGAUUUAUUGAAGACUAACUACUGCGAAAGCAUUUGCCAAGGAUGUUUUCAUUAAUCAGGAACGAAAGUUAGGGGAUCGAAGACGAUCAGAUACCGUCGUAGUCUUAACCAUAAACUAUGCCGACUAGGGAUCGGACGAUGUUAUUUUUUGACUCGUUCGGCACCUUACGGGAAAC